GGUUCAAAUGCCAGCACAGACACUUACUAGCUAACUGACCUUAGGCAAGCUACUUAACCUCUGGCUCUCAGUUUUCCCAGCUUAAAAAUGGCAUAGGCCAGGUGCGGUGGCUUAUGCCUGUAAUCCUAGCACUUUGGGAGGCCGAGGUGGGUGGAUCACGAGGUCAGGAGAUCAAGACCAUCCUGGCUAACACGGUGAAAACCUGAGCCGGGUGUG
rnacentral:lncRNA from 1 species